GAAGCUAAUGAUCCUCUGUGGCCAAGUCAUGUUCUGUGGUGGAGUAUGGAGGUUAUAUACAGGGUGUUACGGUACAGAGUCAAUGUGGAGGUUAUAUACAGGGUAUUACGGUACAGAGUCAAUGUGGAGGCUAUAUACAGGGUGUUACGGUACAGAGUCAAUGUGGAGGCUAUAUACAGGGUGUUACGGUACAGAGUCAAUGUGGAGGCUAUAUACAGGGUGUUACGGUACAGAGUCAAUGUGGAGACUAUAUACAGGGUGUUACGGUACAGAGUCAAUGUGGAGGCUAUAUACAGGGUGUUACGGUACAGAGUCAAUGUGGAGGCUAUAUACAGGGUGUUACGGUACAGAGUCAAUGUGGAGGCUAUAUACAGGGUGUUACGGUACAGAGUCAAUGUGGAGACUAUAUACAGGGUGUUACGGUACAGAGUCAAUGUGGAGGCUAUAUACAGGGUGUUACGGUACAGAGUCAAUGUGGAGGCUAUAUACAGGGUGUUACGGUACAGAGUCAAUGUGGAGGCUAUAUACAGGGUGUUACGGUACAGAGUCAAUGUGGAGGCUAUAUACAGGGUGUACCGGUACAGAGUCAAUGUGGAGGCUAUAUACAGGGUGUUACGGUACAGAGUCAAUGUGGAGGUUAUAUACAGGGGGUACCGGUACAGAGUCAAUGUGGAGGCUAUAUACAGGGGGUACCGGUACAGAGUCAAUGUGGAGGUUAUAUACAGGGGGUACCGGUACAGAGUCAAUGUGGAGGCUACAUACAGGGGGUACCGGUACAGAGUCAAUGUGGAGGUUAUAUACAGGGUGUUACGGUACAGAGUCAAUGUGGAGGUUAUAUACAGGGUGUUACGGUACAGAGUCAAUGUGGAGGCUAUAUACAGGGUGUUACGGUACAGAGUCAAUGUGGAGGUUAUAUACAGGGUGUUACGGUACAGAGUCAAUGUGGAGGCUAUAUACAGGGUGUUACGGUACAGAGUCAAUGUGGAGGCUAUAUACAGGGGGUACCGGUACAGAGUCAAUGUGGAGGUUAUAUACAGGGUGUUACGGUACAGAGUCAAUGUGGAGGCUAUAUACAGGGUGUUACGGUACAGAGUCAAUGUGGAGGCUAUAUACAGGGGGUACCAGUACAGAGUCAAUGUGGAGGCUAUAUACAGGGUGUUACGGUACAGAGUCAAUGUGGAGGCUAUAUACAGGGGUUACGGUACAGAGUCAAUGUGGAGGCUAUAUACAGGGUGUUACGGUACAGAGUCAAUGUGGAGGCUAUAUACAGGGUGUUACGGUACAGAGUCAAUGUGGAGGCUAUAUACAGGGGGUACCGGUACAGAGUCAAUG
rnacentral:lncRNA from 1 species